CCCUAGGGCACAACCAGGGAUCAUCUCAGCUUCUUCAUCUGAGACCUGAGGAAGAGAAUCGUAUCUCCCUCAGAGGAUCGUCGAGAGACAUUUUGCAUAGUGGCUGGCACAGAAUUGAAGAAAAUGUUCACAGAAGGAAGUGAGAUGAUUAAUUGAUUCCGAGGGCCUGUAGCAACUCUGUUUAACAUGCUAGAUGAGCCAGUCUUAUUCAAUGAUGACUAAGGAUCUAGAGAAAACGGGUCUCAGGAUGGUCUUCUUCCCACCUCCUUUCAGUUGGCCUGCAGUGAACAGGAUAUGUCACUGUAUGCUGGUCACUGGAAGAUAGAUUAAGGAGGAGUCAGAAGAGGGAGAACCAAACACAUCGCAGCAUGAAAAGAACUUGGCCUGGAGUUGUUGGCUUUGAAGAUGAAGAAAUGAGUCCAUGAGCCAAGGAAUGCAGCGCCAGAAGUUAGUCCUCCAUAAACAAGGAAGAGAAUCAUCACCAGCAACGGAAUCUGCUGCUGCUGCCAUCUUGAUCCUGGACUUCCAGUCUCCAGAACUGUUGGAAUCCUCUUGCUGGACAAGAGUUCCUGGCAGACGUGGUGCCCGAAAACAGGGACCUGAGAUCAGGGAUUUUGAUGACAUUUGGGUGAGUGGCUGCAGCGAUGUAUAUCCAUUAAGACCUGAAAUGGCUUUCCCUCUGCUCCCCAUCCACGUCAGAUGGAGCAUAAUGUUCUUUGGAGACACAGCAAGCUUUCAGGCUGGAGCAGGCAGCCUCCUCUCAAAGACCAUAUGUUCAGCACUGACAUGGAGGCUGGUGUGGCAAGAGUGGGCGGAGCACACUGUCAUACCAAGCUGGCGUUCGGAAUCCUAAAUAACAGGUUGUGGCCUCGAAGACAGCUAGAGUUAUGCUACCAACCUUUCUUCUCUUGAACUGACUCCUGUAUCCUUUGAAAAGUCUACCUUGGUAAAGUUUAUUGAAGAGACAAGACAGUUUCCUAGUAACAACUCAAUUUUAGAAAUGGAAAUUGAAGCCUCACUCUAUGCAUUAGGAAUGAAUGAUUACAUUUAUUGAGUAUCAGAACAGUUUAAUUCUAAUUCAUUCCUAAGUACUUAUUUUUCUUUGACUAGUCAUCCCUGAGUGAGGAGAAUAUUAAGACUAUUUAGUGACUAAUGAAACUUUAAUCAUAUUGUGUUACACAAAUUACUUGGACGUAAAGUUGGUCAUUGGGAGUGCUGUUAAGGAGUGGGAGAAGCAAGGUACAUAACAUUUUCCUAUGAAAGAGAAGUAUUUCUCUCAAGGCUAGAUACAGUUGGAAAAAGAUUUCAGGAAAACCAUGGCCUGGCUUUAUAUGAUAAACUCCCUGAUAGAUGAUUUCCUUCCUGAAAGUAAAGGUUCUUGGUAAAGCUAGCCCACACCUUCCUGUGGCAAUCUUAGUGGUGUUUAAAACAUUUAUAUGCAGAUAGUUCUUCAUAACUAACCUUCUUUCUUCCUUAUUUCCUCUCUUGCUGGCCUGGAGGAAAUGGAACCCACUGUCAUUUUUCUUCAUUAAAAUAAAUGAAAACAGUCUUUUUGUAUCCAAG
ensembl:lncRNA